CUUCUCCAGUCCUAGGGAUGAGCAGCCAGGGGAGAUUCCAAGCUGUGUCGCUGUCCAGCAUUUCAGGAGGACAGCAGGACAGCAGGAGCACCUUCCAGGUCCUGUGCAUGAGGAAUGACAACGGUGCUCACCGAUAAUUCUGCUGGAUCAUUCAUCAGUUUUCCACAGUCUCAUAUACUGCACGCAAGAUUGGGGCUGACAAAUGUCCUUUACACCCUUCGACCCUGAAUAGAUGGACUGCUGGCAGCGACUGUCUUACCUGUUUUGUUUUGCUUUGGCUCCAGCAAGCAACUGCACGAGGGUUUAUUAUUGGCUUCUCUCAGUCGGCUGCGCCAGGGGCCAUAUCUGGCAGUAGUGUGGCUGCUGAAAUACUGUUGCUGCCCGUCACCAAGCAAUAUUAAGUUAGAAACUCACUUGAAUCAGGUGGCUUUGACAUGGUGAGUAGCUUGUAUGUUUUGAAAAAAAAGUAUACUAGCUAACUGAUGUUAGUUUUUGUAAUUUUCGGAGAAGCAAUAGAUAAAUGUACAACAUGUAGAUGUGUGGCUAUGUCCUUUUUCCUAAACUAGUACUAGCAUUUCUACACAUGCUAACAAAGGUGUAUAAGAAUGUACUCAAGCCAGUCAGAUGGUCUAUUGAAAAGUGUAGUAAGAAUGUAUUGAUACAUCAAUCAUGCAGUUUUCUUUUUGUCACAGGAAUAUGAAGAAUGUAUCCCUUAUCCAAAGUCCCUUAAACAUUUUGCCUAUCUUAUCACAAUUCUAAAUUCUCAGCCAAAAAUACAAGAUCAAAAAAUUCAGUUUUAUGAAAUAGGGAGAUAAUGCUCCAACUUCUUAUAUUUUAACACAGUCUUUCAUCUUAAACUCAACAAUUAAGGGAUCAUUAAGGGAUGUUGAAAUGCGUCAAUGGUUUUAAGGAUGUUUGUACCUAACUCCA